UAGUGACUGUGAUAUUGGCCUGGUUCACUCAGACAAAACAUUUGUAUUUCUUUUUUGCAAAGCAAUUUGGUGCGUGUAUUGUUUUGGUUUGAUUGAGCCGUGCCAAUAUCUCAGUGCUCUUU
rfam:Cephalotus follicularis DNA, scaffold: scaffold1829, isolate: St1.